ACGUAGGGUGCAAGCGUUGUCCGGAAUUACUGGGUGUAAAGGGAGCGCAGGCGGACCGGCAAGUUGGAAGUGAAAACUAUGGGCUCAACCUAUAAAUUGCUUUCAAAACUGCUGGCCUUGAGUAGUGCAGAGGUAGGUGGAAUUCCCGGUGUAGCGGUGGAAUGCGUAGAUAUCGGGAGGAACACCAGUGGCGAAGGCGACCUACUGGGCACCAACUGACGCUGAGGCUCGAAAGCAUGGGUAGCAAACAG
rnacentral:rRNA from 1 species